ACAGUAACUACAGAGGGAUAGUACCAAAAAAGGUACUGUUGGGUACAGAAACUGAAUUUCAGGUACUGAUAU